AUGUUCCGAGCUGCGGCUCCAGGGCAGCUCUGGGGGGCGGUGGUACAAGAUCUCUGCAAAGUAGCAGGUGUAGCAAAAGUUCUGGUGGCUCAGCACGAUACAUACAAAGGCUUCCUUCCAGAAGAGCUGAAGCCAUUGAUUCUGGCAACUCAGAAGCAGUUCAAUUACACAAACAUCUGGGCGGGAGCAUCUGUCUUUGGAAAGAACCUUUUGCCCAGGAUAGCAGCCAAAAUUGAUGUUGCUCCAAUUUCUGACAUCAUUGCAAUCAAGUCUCCUGACACAUUUGUGAGAACUAUUUAUGCAGGGAAUGCUUUAUGUACAGUGAAGUGUGAUGAGAAAGUGAAGGUAUUUUCUGUCCGAGGAACGUCUUUUGAAGCUGCAGCAACAAGUGGAGGUAGUGCCAGUUCAGAAAAGGCAUUAAGUCAUUCCCCAGUGGGGAUAGCAGAGUGGCUUGACCAGAAAUUAACCAAAAGUGAAUGACCAGAGCUACUGGUGCCAAAGUGGUAGUAUCUGGUGGUCGGGGUUUGAAGAGCGGAGAGAACUUUAAGUUGUUGUAUGAUUUGGCAGAUCAACUACAUGCUUCAGUAGGUGCUUCUCACGCUUCUGUUGGUGCUGGCUUUGUUCCCAAUGACAUGCAAGUUGGACAGAUGGGGAAAAUAGUACCACCAGAGUUUUAUAUUGCUGUAGGACUAUCUGAAGCCAUCCAACAUUUAGCUGGGAUGAAAGACAGCAAGACAAUUGUGGCUAUUAACAAACACCUAGAAGCUCCAAUUUUUCAAGUGGCCGAUUAUGGAAUAGUUGCUGAUUUAUUUAAGGUAGUUACUGAAAUGACUGAGUUGUUGAAGAAGAAAUGAGUUACAGUGUUUUAAGAAGGAAAAUAUAUCAAAGUAUUCAGCUGAAAUAGAAAUUCAUGGCUAUUACAGUAAUCAUUGGAAAGUAUUGAGAACUACAUAUCAUAAUUUGAGAAAAAAAUUCUC